rnacentral:rRNA from 1 species
UACGUAGGGCGCAAGCGUUAUCCGGAAUUAUUGGGCGUAAAGGGCUCGUAGGCGGUUUGUCGCGUCGGGAGUGAAAACACACAGCUUAACUGUGUGCUUGCUUCCGAUACGGGCAGACUAGAGGUAUGCAGGGGAGAACGGAAUUCCUGGUGUAGCGGUGAAAUGCGCAGAUAUCAGGAGGAACACCGGUGGCGAAGGCGGUUCUCUGGGCAUUACCUGACGCUGAGGAGCGAAAGCGUGGGGAGCGAACAGG